CCUCAAGGACUCCUUUCCUGCAUGUUUAGAGGUUUCCCUGAUUUGACACACCUGGUUCGAAAGACUGAGUGGAUACUAUGAGUUUUAUUAAGUUUGUUUAGUCAUUGGAGAUAUUUUGCUAACACAUUCGUUUUAAACCGUUUGUGGUAAAGCUGAAACCCAUUCUAAUGUCCUCAUUGUCUAAAUGUGGCUGAGUWAUGGCUGUUUUUGUGUGGAAAGGGAGUUUUAAUAAUGGUUCUGGAGAUAUUUCAAAGAGAAUUAAGUUUUAAACAGGAUCUGAAGUGUUCCCCAUAUUUUAUUUUUUAGAUCAUUUUUGGCAAAUURCAUUGCCAUGGUAAGUUCAAACAUCACUAAAAGCCAUGACACUUAGUCAGAUGAGUCUGYAGAAUUUAGCCCAAAUUACUGACAUCGUACACAUUUACCUACUAUUAAAAACAAUCUAGCGUUGGAAAUUAUGUUAAGAUUUUAAGAAUUUAGAGUAGAACCUGGAACAAAUUGGACAAAUUAAAUUUUAACAGGGACUUUUUUUAAAGACUAUACUAAGUGAAUAAGAACCACCUCGGGGUGGGGUUUCAACAAGUUUAACAGACAAAACAAAACAGAAAACCAAAAAAAUGCUAUUUUUAUUAAUAUUUGAAAGAAGCUCCAUAGUUCAUGAAAACAUUUGUUUCGGUGCAUGUCAUUUAACAAUCACAUUCUAUGAGGAGAAAGAGAUAUACAGACAGAAAAACAUAAAACUUUACAAGCCACUGACUUCUCAAUAACUCUCAGUAACAACAUUUUUACUUAGUAUCUUAACAUAAAGGCAAAAAAAAAAAAAAAAGAAAACAAAAGCAGCCCUAGUACAACCCCCACCCUCCAUAAAACCCUUAACAACAGAAGACAAAAUAAAAGCCCGUGAGGGUGACAGGCUAGAAUCCCACAGUGCUAAAGUGUGAGAUGCUCAUUGGUUUUAGGAAUACACAGCAUGGCGACGUAGCGCUAGGUCAGUUUGAAAUGUGGGGAGGGAAGAUGGAGGUGGAGGGCCUCGACACGAACCCCUCCAUCCCCAACAACUUCACCCUAAAAAAAAAAAAAAAAAUCCUCAAAAACACCCUCAAAAYCCCAGCAAAUAAGAUCAGUCGCUAAGAGGAAGUAGGCCAUAACCCUCUGCCCCCACCCAACACUUGUGCAUAGAUUCAUGAUCCUUUAACCAGCUCGAUUUACAUACAUCCUCCAAAAACAUGGAAAAAAUAAAAGCUCCAAAAAAAAAAAACAACAUGUGAUUUAUUCGUAAUAAGACCCGCAGAGGGAGUACGAGAGAAAGAAGGAAUAAUGCACAAAGUUCCUGAUUCGGUCAGGACGGGACCUCAAUAAGAAAACACAAGAAAGAGUCAAACAUACAGCAUUUUGCAUGUUAUUCACCAUUUUUUAAACAAACUCACUGACCACUUUUUUUUUGUUGUUUUUAAAUGUAAAGCAAUUUUAAUAUAUAGAUUUAUAAUAUAAAGCACUCAUUAUUUUUUCGUUUAAAGUCCAUUAUUUGGUUAUUAUGUAACUGCUACGGAUUUAGAAACAAAAAGGUAUUUUCUUCUGAAAUCCAUAACCUUCAGUGCUCAAAAUUGAUUUUUUAAGUCAUUUUUUUUCUUUUUUAAAUUUUUAUUUAUUUUUCUUAACGUAUCAUAAAAAUGUACAUUAAAAUGACGUGGAGUUGGUACUCUGGAACCCUGGCUUUCCUGAGACAAGAUCCACUUUUUUGUGUGUGCAAGACAAUGAGCAAUUAUCUUUUUUCCCUCUAUAAAAGAAAAAAAAACAAACAUAAAACCAGGCUUCAGACAGUCCAUAAAAUCAACAUUACUACAGAACAAAGGUUAAACAGAAACAAAACAACACUGUUUAAUCCCAGAGUUCUGAAAGUAGCACGAGAAAUCUUCAUUCUGUGAAGUGUUGCACUUUUUUUAAUUGGAAGCAUUUGUCCUUUUCUCUCUUAUUUCCAACAUUCCUGUGGUUUAUUUCCUCCUUUGUUUUGCUGUUUUUGUAACGCCAGAAGAAAAAAAUAAAAUAAAAACUGUAAACUGUCAGUGGCCUUGCAGAACAAAACUAUACUGAUCAACACAAGUAAAAUAAGCUUAAAAAAAUAAAGUAGGCACCUCUGAGGUGAGCCCUAGAAGCCAAGGCUCGGUCUGAUGUCUCGUCCUUCACUCUGUUUGCUCAGAUUUGGGAGAACUGAAGUCCCUCUAUCCCAAUCUAUGGCCACAGAUCUGCAAAAUACUUUUUUUUUGCUGCAUUUUUAUACAUAUAGAAUUUUUUUCUUUUUUUUUUUUAAGGUUUACAGUCUGAAAAUUGGUGCAAUACUCAAUUAUGAUCCAUACUUUCUUGGAUUAUUCCACAAUGAAAGCCACUAAGGUAGAUAAACAUUACAUUUAGAGAAAAAAAUAAAAUAAAAUAAAAUAAAAUAACACACUUAUUUUAGUCCUUGAGUAAACAUUUACACAUGAACUGUCCCCGUCCCCCCUCGGUACUUGUUAUCAUGUUGUUCAUGUAGCUGGAUGAGGGGUGAGGCCGACACUCAGUGCAACGCUAGAGGCUAGUUACAACAUUAGAAUAUAAUUUUGACGAGCAAAAAAAAAAAAGACGUAAAAAUAUUCUGAAUUGAAAAAAGAAAAACACACCGUCACCGAAGCCGUCUCGCGUGUUUCUGACCUGACGCUGCAAACAUUCAUUCACUCAUACAGUACAAGCAGCCUUGUGCAAACACUCCAAUACAAGAUGUAAAAUUAGCCUUUUUAAAAUCGAUUCUUCGUUUUCAACAUUUCAAUCUGUUUUUUUUUUAAAUCACUCUGAACAGAUGCUAUCAAAAAAUCUCUGAAGUGUAUGAAUGAGACAGAAACAAAACAAAAACACUACAAAAAGUGUUCACAUUACAUUAUUGGCGCUUCUUUUGAUUCAAGUAUUUCUUUUUCAUUUUGUAUUACUCUGAUAUGUUUAUACUCUUGUCUUCUGGGAAAUAUAAUGUUGGAUACAGAGGGGAAGGGCUGAAGCAUAGGAAAACAGAUAAAAAUCCAGCCAAACACACAUACACCCUUUAUGUACUCUUGGUUGUAUACUGUGUGUGAGCUAGUGUGUGCAUAUUCAACCCAGUCCUCCUUGGGUUUUUUUUUUAAAUAUAUAUAUUUUUUUAAAUUUUAAAGACUUUUUUUUCAUUUUUUUAAGGGGGUCCCUGCCCAGACUUCUUGUCUGAUCCAUGAUUGAAAAUUUAAGCUCCAGUUGCUUUUGAGUCCACUUUAAAAAGGGAAUCAUUAAAAAACAAAUUGAAAACAAAGCAUGUGAUUUCCGACACUUAAACAGGUAGAUAAGAGUGCAGCAGUGCGGGAGAGGCUCUCAGUGCUGGUGCUGCGCCAAGAAAAUCCACAUCUGAGGCUCCCCUCCCCCCCACUCUGUCCCACUUCAACGCCAGCUCCUYAAUUCAAGUCCAGUGUGGAGGAAAAAAAAACAAUGCAGGUUAUUUUCAGGAACAAUCUCACAAACAAACAGCACAGGCAAAAAGUGAUUGUUUAGUUGAACGAUCCGYGUCCAAGGCGUCUCUGGAAGAGGGCAAGUCCCCGAAGUUUUCUUUUUUUUUUUUUGUUUUAAGACUUGGUACCAAACUUGAGGUGCGUCUUGUGUUAAAACAAAGACGCAGGCAUCUCAGCCUCGGAGUGCGCAGCAAAAUAAAAAACAAAACAAAACAACAAAAAGCUCUUUUUAUAUAUAUUUUUUAGUUUUUGUGAAAACCUUGAUGAUAAAGAAACAAGAUAAUGUUUUUGGUUUUUAAAGAGAUGUACCCGAUGUGACCCAUAAACAGUGCACAGACACAUACAGGGGAGCACCCCACCCCCACCACACACACACACAAAGCCCAACCCCCCCUCCCCCCACUGCAGCCUCCAACAAAACAAGACAGUAAAAAUAAAAAUAAUUCCAGUCCAAUGUUUAAAGACCAGCAUCACCGGUCCUGCACGGCCCCAGCAGCGAUGACAGAAACCCAACUCUCCUCUCACUGAACAUCUUCUACCAUGUGAGAGAAGUGGAAGUAGAUUCCAGCAGAUCAGUGGCGCCGGACUGAAGAAGCGAUGGCCAACGAGUACUGCCUCCAGCAGGUCGUUUUUUUUUUUUUUUUUAGUGUCGUCUAAAGAGCUCACGUCCAGGUGAUGAGACUCGUUCAGUGUCCCCUACAUUUUAAAACCGGGUGAGGUUUCGGGAGAAGCUGCCUGGUUGUAAAGGUUGAGAUAAAAGUGGGAGACUGGCAGAUGUCGGGCACGGCUGCGAUUAAACACCUCCUCGUCUUUGCAUAGAAAUGGAAGGCUGCUGUCAGUUGAGGUGGGUUUUUUUUUUUCUAAGUGGAACUGAGUGCUCCCAGAGUUAAAGCACCAGAGUGAGUGAAGCCCGUCAAAGACGUUGGGUCCUGGAAACUUGUUUUUUUUGUUUUUUUUUGUAAUUUUCCCCCCACCUGCUGCACGGCCGAUGUGCACCUCUAAACUGCACGCUGGAGAUAGGAAGAGCA